rnacentral:rRNA from 1 species
UACGGGAGGCAGCAGUGGGGAAUAUUGGACAAUGGGGGCAACCCUGAUCCAGCAAUGCCGCGUGUGUGAAGAAGGCCUUCGGGUUGUAAAGCACUUUCAAUAGGGAGGAAAAGUUAUGCGUUAAUAGCGUAUAGCCGUGACGUUACCUAUAGAAGAAGCACCGGCUAACUCCGUGCCAGCAGCCGCGGUAAUACGGAGGGUGCAAGCGUUAAUCGGAAUUACUGGGCGUAAAGCGCGCGUAGGCGGUUUAUUAAGUCAGAUGUGAAAGCCCCGGGCUCAACCUGGGAAUUGCAUUUGAGACUGGUAGGCUAGAGUGUGGUAGAGGUGAGUGGAAUUUCAGGUGUAGCGGUGAAAUACGUAGAGAUCUGAAGGAACAUCAGUGGCGAAGGCGACUCACUGGGCCAUUACUGACGCUGAGGUGCGAAAGCGUGGGUAGCAAACAGGAUUAGAUACCCUGGUAGUCCACGCCCUAAACGAUGUCAACUAGGUGUAUGGAGAAUCUAUUCUUUGUGUAUCGAAGCUAACGCGAUAAGUUGACCGCCUGGGGAGUACGGUCGCAAGACUAAAACUCAAAGGAAUUGACG